AGUCGCCGCGGGAAUACAGAGGGUGCGAGCGUUAAUCGGAUUUACUGGGCGUAAAGCGUGCGUAGGCGGCUUCUUAAGUCGGAUGUGAAAUCCCUGAGCUUAACUUAGGAAUUGCAUUCGAUACUGGGAAGCUAGAGUAUGGGAGAGGAUGGUAGAAUUCCAGGUGUAGCGGUGAAAUGCGUAGAGAUCUGGAGGAAUACCGAUGGCGAAGGCAGCCAUCUGGCCUAAUACUGACGCUGAGGUACGAAAGCAUGGGGAGCAAACAGGAUUAGAUACCCCGGUAGUCCCUGUCUCUUAUACC
rnacentral:rRNA from 1 species